GGCAACGGGUUUUGGUCCCGCUAUUCGGAGGUUCGAAUCCUUCCGUCCCG
rnacentral:tRNA from 1 species